GAUGAAGAACGUAGCGAAAUGCGAUACUUGGUGUGAAUUGCAGAAUCCCGCGAAUCAUCGAGUUUUUGAACGCAAGUUGCGCCCGAAGCCAUUCGGCCGAGGGCACGUCUGCCUGGGUGUCACGCAUCGUUGCCCCCCCAAACUCCGGUUCGGGCGGGGCGGAAGUUGGCCUCCCGUGCGUGCCUGCGCGCGCGGUUAGCCCAAAAGCGAGUCCUCGGCGAUGAGCGCCACGACAAUCGGUGGUUUUUUUCCCCUCGUUCCUCGUCGUGCGUGCCCCGUCGCCCGAACGCGCUCUUGCAACCCUUACGCGUCGCCUCGGUGGCGCUCCCAACGCGACCCCAGGUCAGGCGGGACUACCCGCUGAGUUUAAGCAUAUCAAUAAGCGGAGGA
rnacentral:misc_RNA from 1 species